UACGUAGGGGGCAAGCGUUGUCCGGAAUCAUUGGGCGUAAAGCGCGCGUAGGCGGCCCGUUAAGUCCGCUGUAAAAGUCCAGGGCUCAACCCUGGAAUGCCGGUGGAUACUGUCGGGCUCGUAUCCGGAAGAGGUGAGUGGAAUUCCUGGUGUAGCGGUGAAAUGCGCAGAUAUCAGGAGGAACACCAAUGGCGAAGGCAGCUCACUGGGACGGUAUUGACGCUGAGACGCGAAAGCGUGGGGAGCAAACAGG
rnacentral:rRNA from 1 species